rnacentral:rRNA from 1 species
AUUGAACGCUGGCGGCAGGCCUAACACAUGCAAGUCGAGCGGCAGCGGGAAAGUAGCUUGCUACUUUUGCCGGCGAGCGGCGGACGGGUGAGUAAUGCCUGGGGAUCUGCCCAGUCGAGGGGGAUAACUACUGGAAACGGUAGCUAAUACCGCAUACGCCCUACGGGGGAAAGCAGGGGACCUUCGGGCCUUGCGCGAUUGGAUGAACGCAGGUGGGAUUAACUAGUUGGUGAGGUAAUGGCUCACCAAGGCGACGAUCCCUAGCUGGUCUGAGAGGAUGAUCAGCCACACUGGAACUGAGACACGGUCCAGACUCCUACGGGAGGCAGCAGUGGGGAAUAUUGCACAAUGGGGGAAACCCUGAUGCAGCCAUGCCGCGUGUGUGAAGAAGGCCUUCGGGUUGUAAAGCACUUUCAGCGAGGAGGAAAGGUUGGUAGCUAAUAACUGCCAGCUGUGACGUUACUCGCAGAAGAAGCACCGGCUAACUCCGUGCCAGCAGCCGCCGCAG